rnacentral:rRNA from 1 species
GACGAACGCUGGCGGCGUGCUUAACACAUGCAAGUCGAACGGAAAGGCCUGCUUUCCCUUGUGGAUUGCGGGUACUCGAGUGGCGAACGGGUGAGUAACACGUGAGUGAUCUGCCCCCAACUUGGUUAUAAGCCUGGGAAACUGGGUCUAAUUCCCGAUAGGACUGCAGGGUGGUGCCUGUGGUGGAAAACGAUUUUCUAGUGGUCGGGGAUGAGCUCGCGGCCUAUCAGCUUGUUGGUGGGGUAAUGGCCUACCAAGGCGGCGACGGGUAGCCGGCCUGAGAGUGUGGACGGGCACAUUGGGACUGAGAUGCGGCACAGACUCCUACGGGAGGCAGCAGUGGGGAAUAUUGCCCGAUGGGCGGAAGCCUGAUGCAGCGACGCAGGGUGGGGGAUGACGGGCUUCGGGUUGUAAGCUCCUUUCGACCGCGAGGAAGCCACCUGGUUGGAAGGGUGGUGACGGUAGUGGUAGAAGAAGCACCGGCUAACUACGUG